GUGCCAGCCGCCGCGGUAAGACGAGCCUCACAAACGUUAUUCGGAAUUACUGGGCUUAAAGGGUGCGUAGGCGGCGCGGAAAGUUGGGUGUGAAAUCCCUCGGCUCAACCGAGGAAUUGCGCUCAAAACUACCGUGCUAGAGGGAGAUAGAGGAAUGCGGAACUUAGGGUGGAGCGGUGAAAUGCGUUGAUAUCCUAGGGAACACCGGUGGCGAAAGCGGCAUUCUGGAUCUCAUCUGACGCUGAUGCACGAAAGCUAGGGUAGCGAACGGGAUUAGAUACCCCGGUAGUCC
rnacentral:rRNA from 1 species